rnacentral:lncRNA from 1 species
UGUUGCUUAGGCUGGUCUUGAGCUCCUAGCCUCAAGUCAUUCUCUUACCUUGGCCUCCCAAAGUGCUGGGAUUACAGGUGUGAGCCAUGGUGCCUGGCGACCUCACCAUUUUUGCUGACUGAAUCACUUGACUAACCUAACUAUAGCUUGCUGCUGAAGAUGCUGGCAACCUAGUAGACAAUACGUCAAGAUGUGAGGAUGCUCCAUAGUAAUGUAAUACCUUCCAUUCAACCAAGGUUAAAAGUGUCAACUAAAUGCUAAUGUCUCCACCAACCACAGAUGGGGUUUGCAGGAGCAAUGGCUGUAGGGACACUAAGAUUUCACCCUCCAGAAGACAGCAUCUUCCUGUGCCAUGGCUAGAUCACCAGCUACCCACAGACAGCCUGAACUCCAAUUGUCUUCCUGCACAUGUGCCUUUAAAGGUUUUACUGGCAUUAUUGCUUUUUUACUUCUGGUAAUUGCUUUAAAAGAACAAAGCUCUUUGUUUAAGGGGGGCCCAGGGAUCUUAUAAUUGCCACGAGGCACAUGAGAGGUUUCUAGACUUUCUAAACAGUUUCUCUUUUAACAUUAAAUAUUAAGUUCAUAAUGUUUGGCCAAGAUGUAGAUGCUCCCUAGGGAGGGGGAGGUGAUGCUAUCAGGAAGAUCGUGUAGACUGGUAAGAGAUCCCUCCUGCAUAGCUGACUUCAGAACCACAAAAAAGCGCACCUGAGGAGGGGUGCUGGCCACCCUGUGCCCAUGCAACCACCAUGUCUUGCCAGAAGCAGGGCACACUCUAGUCCCAGCUGCGUCAGGGGCUUCAGACUCAUUAAUACUAUUUUCUACAUUAAAAUAAAUGAUGACGUAUCUGUUCACCUGCAAUGAAUCACAUCAAGUCAGUUCUUAAAUGAGUGUUUCCAGAAUCCUUAGGGGCUCCAACCCAGCUAGUGCAGGGGCUCAAUGACUUAACCCUUCUUUUCCCAUGGUAUAUUUUUCCCCAGAAUUUUCCAGCCGAACUAACAGUAAUUUCAGUGACAUUAAAUACUGUUACAGGAACUUUUCAAAUGUAGAGGAGCCUUUAGAAGGAAGCCUUGAGCAUGAGGACAGACCCCCCUCAUCCAACCACCACCUGACUCUGUGUGAACCUGGAACUGUUAGGAAUGUCUGUGCUGUGAUAAAAGGUCAUCUCCCUACAAUGUUAUGAUACAGACCUCAAACCUACAAACAUGAGGAACUUCUGCCUCCAGGUUAACUGCUUACCCACUGUACAAGACACGUUACACACAGUCCAGGAGGCGGAGCUUCUGAGAUAUCUAGAAACAGCUUAGAGGCAAAAUGACAAAAUAAAGCAGCAACAACAAAUAAAACCAAUCUUCUCGAACUGGC